CCUACGGGUGGCAGCAGUGGGGAAUAUUGCGCAAUGGGCGAAAGCCUGACGCAGCGACGCCGCGUGAGGGAUGAAGGUACUCGGAUCGUAAACCUCUGUCAGCAGGGAAGAACGGUCACUGUGCUAAUCAGCAGUGAAUUGACGGUACCUGCAAAGGAAGCACCGGCCAACUCCGUGCCAGCAGCCGCGGGAAUACGGAGGGUGGGAGCGUUAAUCGGAAUUACUGGGCGUAAAGCGGUCGUAGGCGGUAUGUCAAGUCAAGGGUGAAAUCCCCGCGCUCAACGUGGGAACUGCCUUUGAAACUGGCAGACUGGAGUGUGUGAGAGGAUAGUGGAAUUCCAGGUGUAGGAGUGAAAUCCGUAGAUAUCUGGAGGAACAUCAGUGGCGAAGGCGACUAUCUGGCACAUAACUGACGCUGAGGAGCGAAAGCGUGGGUAGCAAACAGGAUUAGAUACCCUAGUAGUC
rnacentral:rRNA from 1 species